AAUAUUUUAUCCGGGAGCUUGUGGAAGCAAGCUGAGAGUACGACUAGCCGUCGUAGACCGGUUGAACCUGUUGGAUAAUGCCAGCGUAGGGAGUGAAGAGAUAACUAGG
rnacentral:ncRNA from 2 species